CCUACGGGUGGCAGCAGUGAGGAAUAUUGGUCAAUGGACGAGAGUCUGAACCAGCCAAGUAGCGUGAAGGAUGACUGUCCUAUGGGUUGUAAACUUCUUUUAUAUGGGAAUAAAGUGUUCCACGUGUGGGAUUUUGUAUGUACCAUAUGAAUAAGGAUCGGCUAACUCCGUGCCAGCAGCCGCGGUAAUACGGAGGAUCCGAGCGUUAUCCGGAUUUAUUGGGUUUAAAGGGUGCGUAGGUGGAUUGUUAAGUCAGUUGUGAAAGUUUGCGGCUCAACCGUAAAAUUGCAGUUGAAACUGGCAGGCUUGAGUACAGUAGAGGUAGGCGGAAUGCGUGGUGUAGCGGUGAAAUGCUUAGAUAUCACGAAGAACUCCGAUUGCGAAGGCAGCUCGCUAGACUGCGACUGACACUGAGGCUCGAAAGUGUGGGUAUCAAACAGUAUUAGAUACCCCUGUAGUC
rnacentral:rRNA from 1 species